UACGAAGGGGGCUAGCGUUGCUCGGAAUCACUGGGCGUAAAGCGCACGUAGGCGGCUUCUUAAGUCAGGGGUGAAAUCCUGGAGCUCAACUCCAGAACUGCCUUUGAUACUGAGGAGCUUGAGUCCGGGAGAGGUGAGUGGAACUGCGAGUGUAGAGGUGAAAUUCGUAGAUAUUCGCAAGACCACCAGUGGCGAAGGCGGCUUGCCAGAAUGCGCUCGACGGUGAGGGAUGAAAGCUGGGGGAGCAAACCGG
rnacentral:rRNA from 1 species